rnacentral:lncRNA from 1 species
GAAAAAUCUGAUGUAGAGUUACAUAAUUGUGAUCAAACCGCUGAAAACAAUGCUGCUCGAAUCAAGUAAGGCACUCAGAGAUGUGAGAGUGAAGCCGCCGCAUGAACUGGACGAUGAAUAGGUGGUGGCUGAGAGGUUGGAUCCUUGUGAGGUGGAGGGACAUCAUCGGCAAUGUCCUCUAGGUCUUCUUGAUCAGCUGACUAGAUGAGGCGGUACUGUGGAUAAUGAAUAGUGAGGGGUUUAUAUAGAUAUUGGGGCACACAGCCAUGGGGCAUGCCCG